rnacentral:rRNA from 1 species
UACAGAGGGUGCAAGCGUUAAUCGGAAUUACUGGGCGUAAAGCGUGCGUAGACGGUUACAUAAGUCGGGUGUGAAAGCCCCGGGCUCAACCUGGGAAUUGCAUUCGAGACUGCGUAGCUAGGGUGCGGAAGAGGGAAGCGGAAUUUCCGGUGUAGCGGUGAAAUGCGUAGAUAUCGGAAGGAACGCCGGUGGCGAAAGCGGCGCGCUGGACCCCUUCUGACGCUGAGGCGCGA